UGGGGGAUAUUGCACAAUGGGGGAAACCCUGAUGCAGCGACGCCGCGUGUAGGAAGACGGUCCUCUGGAUUGUAAACUACUGUCUUCGGGGACGAUAAUGACGGUACCCGAAGAGGAAGCUCCGGCUAACUACGUGCCAGCAGCCGCGGUAAUACGUAGGGGGCAAGCGUUAUCCGGAAUUAUUGGGCGUAAAGGGUGCGUAGGCGGUCAAUUAAGUCUGAGGUGAAAGAUCACAGCUCAACUGUGGUAUGCCUUGGAAACUGAUAGACUAGUGUGCAGGAGAGGGCAAUGGAAUUCCAUGUGUAGCGGUAAAAUGCGUAGAUAUAUGGAGGAACACCAGUGGCGAAGGCGGUUGCCUGGCCUGUAACAGACGCUGAAGCACGAAAGCGUGGGGAGCGAAUA
rnacentral:rRNA from 1 species